rnacentral:tRNA from 1 species
UGGGGCGUCGUCUAAUUGGCAGGACAGCGGUCUUUGGAGCCGUUAGUGGAGGUUCGAGUCCUCCCGCCCCAG